AUUGAACGCUGGCGGCAGGCCUAACACAUGCAAGUCGAGCGGAGCGGCGGACGGGUGAGUAAUGCCUAGGAAUCUGCCCGGUAGUGGGGGAUAACGUCCGGAAACGGGCGCUAAUACCGCAUACUAUCAGAUGAGCCUCGGGGGGAUUAGCUAGUUGGUGGGGUAAAGGCCUACCAAGGCGACGAUCCGUAACCGGUCUGAGAGGAUGAUCAGUCACACUGGAAUGGAGACACGGUCCAGACUCCUACGGGAGGCAGCAGUGGGGAAUAUUGCACAAUGGGCGCAAGCCUGAUGCAGCCAUGCCGCGUGUAUGAAGAAGGCCUUCGGGUUGUAAAGUACUUUCAGCGGGGAGGCGUUACCCGCAGAAGAAGCACCGGCUAACUCCGUGCCAGCAGCCGCGGUAAUUC
rnacentral:rRNA from 1 species